ensembl:lncRNA
GGCAGACUUUGUUAAGUGCAUGCUUAUUUUGUUUUUGAGAGUGACUCCAUUUCCUUUCUCUUGGUGCUCACCUUUGCCGUGGCUGUGAGGCCACAAUGCUUUAAAACUCUCCUCCAGGAAUGAUUAUUUCUACCUUGGAGCUUUUCUUGUUUUGAAAUCUUGCCUGAUGAACCUGCCCAAUCAGAGGGUCCUGGCCUUGACCUCUGUUGGACACCAAGGCCGGCAUUUGGAAAUAGCCAAGGCCACCCUGCCUAGAGUCUCCACUGGGCGCUGACCACAUUGUUCAGCUGGGGUUUGUUUACAGUUAUUUUCAUUCCCAUUCCUGUCCCCACUCACACAGAAGAAACUUCAAAAUGUUGGCACUUUGGAGAAUAAGAAUAUCGGCCACAAAGGAGAAACCACAGAGCCACCUGGGAAAUCUCUGCAGUGUUUCUGUGAAAUCUGAACAAGCUAUCAGCACAUCUGCUGCCUGUUCUUUCACUAUGAGUGGGCACUGCAGAGGCAGGCAGGGUAGCUUUGGCUAAAAUGCUUCCUCAAAGUUAAUGGAGGGCUAUGCACCAGCCGUCACCCCCGAAGAGGAGGCUAGGAGUGCGCCAGUAGUUCUGCACAGCACAAGGGAAGCAUGGCAGCUUCGGGACUUGAUGGUGACACAUUGGGUCUUCUUGUAGAAGAGGCUGGAAGUGGUCAGCCAGCACGAAUUCUCACGUGGCCCGAUCAUGAACCCUGGAUCUUGUCUGUGUGUUGUCAUCUAUACCCCCUCCCCCAGACAUGCAUAGAGAUCUGUCCUCUAAGGUUCUAUGCCCUGACUAAGAAUGAUGUCCACUUAGAUUCUUAGGGGACAUGGCACCCAUUUUCUGGUAGAGUUAAGUGGCAGGUGACACCAGGCCUGCCAAUGGCCAGCAGCCUCCCGGCUGUUGGAUCCUGUGGCUGCUGGAUCACCUGGCCUCAGCUUAACUCCUUUUACCUGCUGGCUCUUGUCUUCCUUCUACAAUGUCAGAAAUCCCUUUCUGUUCAUCCUAUCCUGGUCUCUGUCUCGAUUAGGGCCUCCUAAGAGAAGCUGAGUAUAUGUGGGCCUCUCACUUUUCUUUCCUGGGAGCUAGACAUGCCCUCUUUCUAGAUAAAUAGAUACAGGGCACAGUUGAAGCCCACCAUUGUGUGUGGAACUUGGUUUUUUCAGUGUCACCUUGUGGUCUUGUUGACAAGGUGUGUGGACAGUGAUACAGAAGCAGUCCCCUAGAAUGCCCGUAUUUCAGAGAAGUACAAUUGGGCUUAGCCCCUGGGUGUCUCGUAGUGUCUCAGAGGAGCUGACCUGGGUCUGUGCUGGUGCAACAGGAAGCGGCAGUCACGUCGCUGUGGAAGAGUAUGAAGGCACAGAGCAUGUGUGAAAUAUGUCCCUUUAGCACACACCUCGGCUAGGAUCUCCUCAAUAGGUUUUGUGAUCUUAAGGACAGCUGAUGGGAGACACCAAGAGUGUGGGAGAAAGAAGCCUUGGGAAACAGCCCUGACCCGGUGCUGCUUCUAUGGGCAAGAAUAGGUCAAGCUACCUGCUCUUUCUGAGGAAUGGGCCUCUCUCUUCACUAGAUAGGGCUGUCUGCUUGUCAGAGCUUGUAAGACUCAACCUUCUGGAAAGAAAAGGGAACUUUCCACAGUGAAUGUUAACGUGUGUGUGCAUGCGCACUUGCUCAAGCCUGUGUGUGUGCAUGCGCGUGUUUACUUGGUGGAAUUUUAUUUUUGUAAAAUUCCUUUCCGGUUAUUUAGUAGAAUUCACCUACACCUCCCUGCCUAACGUUGGUUCCACCAUUAUAACCCUAGGCAUAGUGAAUUUGGAACUCCUUUGAGGUUCCUGAACAGGAUCUAGCAUUCUUGAAAGCCGAGAUUGUGGAAGGGUGGGAGACACUGAUUAUGUAUCUGUUUCCUAGUUUACAUCCUGCAGGUUAAAAGGUCUCAUGGCCUCAGCUAGGCUCUGUCCCUCAUGGGGGAGUCCAGUACCACUCCCCUAGGCACCUUGUCACCUGAAUCUUCACCCCGUGAAGGGAAAGCAGGCUUAUUAGCUUGCUCUGUAGCACCCAGCAUGUUCUCCUUCAAGCUCUUCAAGUUUCGGCUUCUGUGCACAGGCUAAGUGUGUGUUGUGUGUUUUGGUGAUGGUACAGGGCUCCUUGAGGAGGCAGCUACACCUGGGGUAGGGUGGGUUUCAUUUAUACCAGAGAUCCCUGGGGCUGCUCACCUGAGCCUGGUCCUCUUGAAGCCUGCUAUUGACAAGCACGUUUCCACCAGCUGUACCCAACACUACAAUGCAUUUUUAAAACUAUAUUUGCAUCUAAGACAAU